rnacentral:rRNA from 1 species
CAUGUCUAAGUAUAAGCAAUCUAUACGGUGAAACUGCGAAUGGCUCAUUAAAUCAGUUAUCGUUUAUUUGAUAGUACCUUACUACAUGGAUACCUGUGGUAAUUCUAGAGCUAAUACAUGCUAAAAAUCCCGACUCCGGAAGGGAUGUAUUUAUUAGAUAAAAAACCAAUGCCCUUCGGGGCUUCUUGGUGAUUCAUAAUAACUGCUCGAAUCGCAUGGCCCUGCGCCGGCGAUGGUUCAUUCAAAUUUCUGCCCUAUCAACUUUCGAUGGUAGGAUAGUGGCCUACCAUGGUGGCAACGGGUAACGGGGAAUUAGGGUUCGAUUCCGGAGAGGGAGCCUGAGAAACGGCUACCACAUCCAAGGAAGGCAGCAGGCGCGCAAAUUACCCAAUCCCGAUCCGGGGAGGUAGUGACAAUAAAUACUGAUACAGGGCUCUUUUGGGUCUUGUAAUUGGAAUGAGUACAAUCUAAAUCCCUUAACGAGGAACAAUUGGAGGGCAAGUCUGGUGCCAGCAGCCGCGGUAAUUCCAGCUCCAAUAGCGUAUAUUAAAGUUGUUGCAGUUAAAAAGCUCGUAGUUGAACCUUGGGCCUGGCUGGCCGGUCCGCCUCACCGCGAGUACUGGUCCGGCCGGGCCUUUCCUUCUGGGGAACCUCAUGGCCUUCACUGGCCGUGGCGGGGAACCAGGACUUUUACUGUGAAAAAAUUAGAGUGUUCAAAGCAGGCCUUUGCUCGAAUACAUUAGCAUGGAAUAAUAGAAUAGGACGUGCGGUUCUAUUUUGUUGGUUUCUAGGACCGCCGUAAUGAUUAAUAGGGAUAGUCGGGGGCGUCAGUAUUCAGCUGUCAGAGGUGAAAUUCUUGGAUUUGCUGAAGACUAACUACUGCGAAAGCAUUCGCCAAGGAUGUUUUCAUUAAUCAGGGAACGAAAGUUAGGGGAUCGAAGACGAUCAGAUACCGUCGUAGUCUUAACCAUAAACUAUGCCGACUAGGGAUCGGACGGUGUUUCUAUGAUGACCCGUUCGGCACCUUACGAGAAAUCAAAGUUUUUGGGUUCUGGGGGGAGUAUGGUCGCAAGGCUGAAACUUAAAGGAAU